AUGCUAUUUUAUCGGAAGGGCCAAGGACUUUCAAAGGCAGCUAGAGAGGUGCUUGUUAAGUCUGGGCUUCAGUCUACCCCGACGUAUCCCAUGAGCUGUUUUCAACUCCCAAAGAAAACGUGCCGGAACUUGACUUCGAUCUCUUCGAACUUCUGGUGGGGUGCAGCCAAUGGAGAUAGAAAGGUACACUGGAUUGCUUGGGACAAGCUGUGCACUACAAAACGUGAGGGCGGUAUGGGCUUCUGUAAUUUUGAAGUUUUUAACCAAGCACUGCUGGCCAAACAAGCUUGGCGGAUUUUGCGGAAUCCUUCAUCUUUGUGUGCGCGAGUGUUGAAAGCCAGAUAUUUCAGAGAUGGAUCCAUUAUG
rnacentral:rRNA from 1 species